GGCGGAGAUGACAAGGGUUCAGGUGGAAGUGCCGCUGCUUCGGCUGCAGCCUCUAGUUCAGGCGGAGAUGACAAGGGUUCAGGUGGAAGUGCCGCUGCUUCGGCUGCAGCCUCUAGUUCAGGCGGAGAUGACAAGGGCUCAGGUGGAAGUGCCGCCGCUGCGGCUGCAGCCUCUAGUUCAGGCGGAGGUGAUAAGGGAGGAGAUGAUAAGGGCGGAGAUGACAAGAACUCAGGCGGAAGUGCCGCCG